rnacentral:rRNA from 1 species
AGAGUUUGAUCCUGGCUCAGAUUGAACGCUGGCGGAAUGCUUUACACAUGCAAGUCGAACGAUGAACCUUAGCUUGCUAAGGGGAUUAGUGGCGAACGGGUGAGUAAUAUAUCGGAACGUGCCUUGUAAUGGGGGAUAACUAGUCGAAAGAUUAGCUAAUACCGCAUACGCCCUGAGGGGGAAAGUAGGGGAUCUUCGGACCUUACGUUAUAAGAGCGGCCGAUAUCUGAUUAGCUAGUUGGUGGGGUAAUGGCCUACCAAGGCGACGAUCAGUAGCUGGUCUGAGAGGACGACCAGCCACACUGGAACUGAGACACGGUCCAGACUCCUACGGGAGGCAGCAGUGGGGAAUUUUGGACAAUGGGCGCAAGCCUGAUCCAGCCAUUCCGCGUGAGUGAAGAAGGCCUUCGGGUUGUAAAGCUCUUUCGCAAGGGAAGAAAACUUACUUUCUAAUAAAGAGUGAGGCUGACGGUACCUUGAUAAGAAGCACCGGCUAACUACGUGCCAGCAGCCGCGGUAAUACGUAGGGUGCGAGCGUUAAUCGGAAUUACUGGGCGUAAAGCGUGCGCAGGCGGUUUGGCAAGUCAGAUGUGAAAUCCCCGAGCUCAACUUGGGAACUGCGUUUGAAACUGCCAGACUAGAAUAUGUCAGAGGGGGGUAGAAUUCCACGUGUAGCAGUGAAAUGCGUAGAGAUGUGGAGGAAUACCAAUGGCGAAGGCAGCCCCCUGGGAUAAUAUUGACGCUCAUGCACGAAAGCGUGGGGAGCAAACAGGAUUAGAUACCCUGGUAGUCCACGCCCUAAACG